rnacentral:rRNA from 1 species
UACAGAGGUCCCGAGCGUUUGUUCGGAUUCACUGGGCGUAAAGGGGUGCGUAGGCGGCGCGGUAAGUCGGGUGUGAAAUCUCGGAGCUUAACUCCGAAACUGCAUUCGAUACUGCCGUGCUUGAGGACUGGAGAGGAGACUGGAAUUUACGGUGUAGCGGUGAAAUGCGUAGAUAUCGUAAGGAAGACCAGUGGCGAAGGCGGGGUCUCUGGACAUUCCUGACGCUGAGGGCACGAAAGGUCAGGGGGGAGCAAAACGGGG